rnacentral:snRNA from 1 species
UUAACCUGGCAGGGGUGAUUCCAUGAUCAUGAAGGUGGUUUCCCCAGGGUAAGGCUUAUCCACAGGGUUGACCCCUGCGAUUUCCCCAAAUACAGCAAGCCAAGAAUUAAAGUGGAAGGAGAGUUGGUGUGUGACAUUUUGUUCACAGAUGAUUGUGCACUCAAUGAAGUCUCUGA